AGCUCCGAGGGCACAGGGUACAGGGAGAAUCAGCCAGAUCCCUCCCUGCCCCGGGCAGCCGCGGCGGGUGUGGCCAGCGCGGAGGCAGGACGCCGCCGAGCCUCCAACUUUACCUUUCCAACUCCGACAGCCCGUCGCCUUUCUGACCACGUCCCCACGGUUUCCCGGCACCCGCCUCCCUCACCCCACCACACCUGAGGAAAACUUUUCCCUCGCCCCUCAAUUCAAAUUCAGCAGUGCCCACGGUUGCCGCAAACCGCCCGAUCCCUAGCAACAAGGUUCCGGCCGUAGAGCGAGCGCCUCUAGGUGUAAGGAAGGUGAUGUCGUAAAGCCGGGAGUGUCGUAAACCAGUUUUCAGUUUAAAUUCUCAACUGGCAAUUGGCCGAAAACUUCCAUCUGAAGACAUGAUCAUCCAAAUGUCAUUUUGUGAUUUGGCUACUGUCUGCUUGACAUAGGAAAGCACUAUCAAGAAAGACUAAUGGAGUGACUAUCAAAAGGAAGUCAAUGGACAACCUUAAAGUUCCACCACAAGAGGAAUAUAAAGAGGUCCCUCCUGCACCAAGAAAGAUCUGCAGAUCUUUUUCAGUGUUCUUGGAGGUGUGGGGUGUGAGAACUUGAUCAGUUUGUGUCAGCCACCUUGUUCUCUAAAGUUACAAAUUAUAAUACUGUGGUAGAAACAAAUUCAGAUUCAGAUGAUGAAGACAAACUCCAUAUUGUGGAAGAAGAAAGUGUCACAGAUGCAGCUGAUUGUGAAGGUGUACCAGAGGAUGACCUGCCAACAGACCAGACAGUGUUACCAGGGAGGAGCAGUGAAAGAGAAGGGAAUGCUAAGAACUGCUGGGAGGAUGACACAGGAAAGGAAGGGCAAGAAAUCCUGGGGCCUGAAGCUCAGGCAGAUGAAGCAGGAUGUACAGUAAAAGAUGAUGAAUGCGAGUCAGAUGCAGAAAAUGAGCAAAACCACGAUCCUAAUGUUGAAGAGUUUCUACAACAACAAGACACUGCUGUCAUUUUUCC
rnacentral:sRNA from 1 species